AAUAUAUUCAGAGCACAGAAUUUAUUGAACAUAAUAUGGAGACAGCUAGUACAAAAGUUUAUGCCUUGGCAGGGCAGGUUUCAUCAGGCUGAUAUGGAACAUGGGAGAACAUGCUGUUAAUGGCUCUUUUGGUCUGGACCCUGCAGAAAUACAUCUCCUUCUCUCUGGGAAACAUCAUGUCAGCUGCCAAGCCAUGGGUUUAUUACAUAUCAGAUAACCAAAAUGUGCAACGGUGAAGAGUCCUUUCCCGCACCAGCUUUUUAAAUGACUUCCAUGUCAAAACAGCAAAUACAAUGAAAACUACAGAAAGGAAAAAUUAUGAAAACUAAAGCAUUCUAAGACAUCUCUUAAGAUACUCAGUUCCUAAAAUGUUAACAUACAUCGAAGACAAUAAACACAUUAAAAACUGCAGGAAUCUUUUUUCAACAUAGGGAGAAAGACGUAGAAUAGGGAGAGAACAGCAUGGGUUACUGAAACCAUUUAUUCAAAAAGGAGAGGAAAGGUGAAGGGAACACUGAAAUAGAUCACUUUUAGUUUCUUAUAGGAAGUUCCAAAUGGCAGCAGUUUAUAAAUAGUCUUUAAAAAGGAAACGACAGCAACAGAAAUGAGAACCAAAUAUAUUUUGCAUUUUUCUCUCAGUGUAUAAGCUUGAAUCACCUUACUUAGGCUACAUACGAAUGAAAAAUAUAAAAAGUCACUCCCACUGACUAAUUUCUCAGCACCUCAUAUAGUAGCAGCCAGACAGACGGUACUUAUGAAACGUUUGCUGACGAGUGAAUGAUGAAAAGCAAAAAGUAGUUCUUGUACACAUGGUCUCAGUAUCACAGACAAUAAAUUCUGACCUUUGAAUUCACAUAAAAGAUGCAAUGGAAAAGCACUUUAACAUGGAUGCUGCACGAGAGGAUUAACAGCUGAAUUCAGUCUAUUUCGUAAAAACAAAAGAAAGAUGGGAAUGCAGGCAGCCAGUUCGGAGAAACAGCCAGGACUUUUUUGUCUGACAUGGAAAAACCAGCAAGUCAAUGUGUGAAACGUGCACACUAAUUUCUCAUCUUCUUAAACCCUAAAAAGCCCCGCAAUCUUGUUAGCACUAAGCCUGGAUGAAAUUGUGUUAAGAUAUCUGAUUAGUCUCCCUUAGUUGGCAUUUUCCAAAGGAAAAAAAAAGGGAACCUGUUUUAUUUCAGUCAGACAUGGCUUUGGGUAUCACUGAAACGAAGCUCUGACAGAAGCUCCACCUGCAGAAGCCCAGGCGGGCUCCCGCGGCUCAUCAGAAUGCCAGCAGGAAAGCAGGCCAGCAAGUGAGCAUCCGUCCUGCACCCACAUCCAUUAGCCAAGUGAUUACCUCUCCAUCAGCCCUGGGGUGUAAUAAAGCAGUUGUAAUCGGGCAUUGUUACAGGAUCAAUGUUUCCUGGUUUAAAAAUAAACAUCAGCAUUUAUCUAGCAGCAGAAAGCGAUUCUCCCAUAGUACUGUUUUAUUCAACUGACAUCUUUUAAUCAAAGCAAUCCAUAUCGUGGCAACAUUCCAAGGUAUCAUAAUUGCAAAUAUUUAUGGCAAGUUAGAUAAUAGCUACAUUUUUAUUGCUAUACUUUUCUUCCUUCUUUUUUUUUGAGACAGAGUCUUGCUCUGUCGCCCAGGCUGGAGUGCAGUGGCACGAUCUCGGCUCACUGCAAGCUCCACCACCCGGGUUCACGCCAUUCUCCUGCCUCAGCCUCCCGAGUAGCUGGGACUACAGGCACCCGCCACCACGCCCGGCUAAUUGUUUUGAAUUUUUUUUUUUAGUAGAGACGGGGUUUCACCAUGUUAGCCAGGAUGGUCACGAUCUCCUGACCUCAUGAUCCGCCCACCUCAGCCUCCCAAAGUGCUGGGAUUACAGGCGUGAGCCACCGCGCCCGGCCUACACUUUUCUUCUUUUUCUACAGAUUUAACGCAGACAUUUUCUAACAAAUUAAUUCCAUUAAGAAAAAGAAAUCUCAAUUAUAUUCAUGAAGACAACCUCUCAUCCACCUCCACCGGUUUCCCUUUUAACUAUUACCCAUAACUGUUUAUGUGAGUUCGUGUCUUUUAAAUUUUUCAAAAUACCUCUCUGUAACUUAAAUAAAAGGAAGCCCCCUAUUGUUAAGUGCCAUAGAUACAGCUAAAAACAUGGCAUGGAGGAAGGUCAGGGCCCCUCGGCACAGGAGUGGGCGAGCUCGUGCACCCCAGCUAAUGUUCUUGGUGGCUGAGCCUCGUGUGCUAACGCUGUGGCUAAUGGGAUUCAGAGGAUGGAGGAAGAGGUCUGUGAAGCUGGCGGCAGACCCAUUCCCACAGCCCCCCAAGCUUGCCUCUCGGCUGAUGCUCCUUAUCAGGGGCUUCUAUUACUUGCUCCCUUAGCUGAUUUCCUGGAGAAACGCAGUGCUAAUUCAGGAAGAGGCCUGAGACAUCGGCAGCUCAGCUGUUUUCAAACCUCGGCAGGGCACUUCUGUAAUACCAAUUUUAAUGAACUGCCCUCAUUCACAUUUAAUUUACAAGUCAUGUAAAGCCUCCAUAUAAAGCGUUCCCAUCAUCUCCUUGCCGAGACAGACUGGUAAUAUUCUUUCUAAAGCCCCCAAAGUCAUUCCCCAGGAGCAUCGGGCAGAGAUCUUCAGGCAAUGAGAAAAUGGAAUAUGCACUUUUUUUCACUGUCUGGAGUGUGCUCAGUUUGCAACAGAAAAAGAAAAAGCAUGUGAACUACAGUCUUAAUUCUACUUACUUUAGUGUGAAAAUAACAGGUAUGGAGGCAGACACAUAAAAGAUGUACAGACGGGCAGAGUAGCUGAAGGAGGAAGGCUUCAUCCACUCAGUUCCCUGAAGCAGAUUUUCAGAGCUGAAAUGGUAUCUUAGCAAUGCAGGCCUUACAGAGACUGAUUUAGUUCUAAAAAGUUGCCCAAUUUAACCUCCUGGAGCCUUUAUUUCUUCAUAUGCAAACAGAGCCACCUACCCC
ensembl:lncRNA